rnacentral:rRNA from 1 species
GGGGAAUCUUGCACAAUGGGGGAAACCCUGAUGCAGCGACGCCGCGUGAACGAUGAAGCCCUUCGGGGUGUAAAGUUCUUUCGACGGGGACGAUAAUGACGGUACCCGGAGAAGAAGCUGCGGCUAACUACGUGCCAGCAGCCGCGGUAAUACGUAGGCAGCAAGCGUUGUUCGGAAUUACUGGGCGUAAAGAGUGCGUAGGCGGUUGGCUAAGUUUGGUGUGAAAUCUCCCGGCUCAACUGGGAGGGUGCGCCGAAAACUGGCCGGCUAGAGUGUGGGAGAGGUAAGUGGAAUUCCUGGUGUAGCGGUGAAAUGCGUAGAUAUCAGGAGGAACACCUGCGGUGUAGACGGCUUACUGGACCAUGACUGACGCUGAGGCACGAAAGCGUGGGGAGCAAAC